GAUGAACGCUGGCGGCGUGCCUAAUACAUGCAAGUCGAGCGAACGGACGAGAAGCUUGCUUCUCUGAUGUUAGCGGCGGACGGGUGAGUAACACGUGGAUAACCUACCUAUAAGACUGGGAUAACUUCGGGAAACCGGAGCUAAUACCGGAUAAUAUUUUGAACCGCAUGGUUCAAAAGUGAAAGACGGUCUUGCUGUCACUUAUAGAUGGAUCCGCGCUGCAUUAGCUAGUUGGUAAGGUAACGGCUUACCAAGGCAACGAUGCAUAGCCGACCUGAGAGGGUGAUCGGCCACACUGGAACUGAGACACGGUCCAGACGCCCACGGGAGGCAGCAGUAGGGAAUAUUCCGCAAUGGGCGAAAGCCUGACGGAGCAACGCCGCGUGAGUGAUGAAGGUCUUCGGAUCGUAAAACUCUGUUAUUAGGGAAGAACAUAUGUGUAAGUAACUGUGCACAUCUUGACGGUACCUAAUCAGAAAGCCACGGCUAACUACGUG
rnacentral:rRNA from 1 species